rnacentral:tRNA from 5 species
GGAGAGGUGUCCGAGUGGCCGAAGGAGCACGCCUGGAAAGCGUGUAAACGGGAAACCGUUUCGAGAGUUCGAAUCUCUCCCUCUCCG